CCGUUAAUUUAUUGAUAGAAAGACCACUUUCGAAAAAUAUUUGCUUAAGGAUGUUGUUUAAUACCAAACCACAUUCAUUUUUAGAUGCAUGCAAAUUAAACAGAAUGGUGAGGUAACAAAAUUACACAAUCACUCAAGGAAAUCAAGUAGUACGUCGUAGUGAUCAGUGAGUCUCGUAAUUUCCUACAACAAUGACGGCAUGAGUUUGAAGUGUUUGCAUUAAAACAAUAAUAUGUUCGUCUAGCCUCGUUGUUUCUGAGCAUUGUGUGUUUUUAUCGUGCAGAUAACGAGUAAAGUUAAUUUUAAACGUGAGGUGGGACAUUGUCAUCAGAGAAAGUGAUCGCACAAGAUGAAUAAAAGUACUGAAAUUCUUACAGCAAAGUGUUCACAGGGACCCGACACACCCGUCCAGAAUGAUAAGAACGCACCGAAGCAAAUCCUGCUAGGAUGGGACAAACAGAGGACCUACACCUUCGUGGGACUCUCAGUCUGCCUCCUCGUCUGGGGCUGCGUGUUCUUCCCGCUCCUUCUCUCCGAGAAUGUGAGCAGCAUCAAUUAAUUGUUUUGUACAAAUCAGAUAUGUUAUAUAUGACAACAAUAAGAAUGAUUUAUGAGAUUAUUAGCUUUAAGACUUUGUUGUAUUAUGAUAUAAAUAAAUAAAAGUUAAUGCAAAUC